rnacentral:rRNA from 1 species
UACGUAGGGGGCUAGCGUUGUCCGGAAUCAUUGGGCGUAAAGCGCGUGUAGGCGGCCGGUAAGUCCGCUGUGAAAGUCGGGGGCUCAACCCUCGGAUGCCGGUGGAUACUGUCGGGCUCGAGUACGGAAGAGGCGAGUGGAAUUCCUGGUGUAGCGGUGAAAAUGCGCAGAUAUCAGGAGGAACACCGAUGGCGAAGGCAGGUCUCGUGGGCCGAUACUGACGUGAGGAGCGAAAGCGUGGGGAGCGAACAGG